AACGUAGGUGGCAAGCGUUAUCCGGAUUUACUGGGCGUAAAGGGCGAGUAGGUGGCCAUCUAAGUCAGACGUGAAAUCCCCCGGCUUAACCUGGGAACUGCGUCUGAUACUGGACGGCUUGAGUAUGGGAGAGGGAUGUAGAAUUCCAGGUGUAGCGGUGAAAUGCGUAGAUAUCUGGAGGAAUACCGGUGGCGAAGGCGGCAUCCUGGACCAUUACUGACACUGAUCCGCGAAAGCUAGGGGAGCAAACGGG
rnacentral:rRNA from 1 species